GCACACUGUCAAAGCAGUAGAGCAUGGGACUCUUAAUCCCAGGGUCGUGGGUUCGAGCCCCACGUUGGGCG
rnacentral:tRNA from 1 species